GCCACUUUAGCUCAGCAGGUAGAGCGCACGUCUGAAACACGUGAGGUGAUCGGUUCGACACCGAUAGGUGGCA
rnacentral:tRNA from 1 species